rnacentral:rRNA from 1 species
GAUGAACGCUGGCGGCGUGCCUAAUACAUGCAAGUCGAGCGAACAGACGAGGAGCUUGCUCCUCUGACGUUAGCGGCGGACGGGUGAGUAACACGUGGAUAACCUACCUAUAAGACUGGGAUAACUUCGGGAAACCGGAGCUAAUACCGGAUAAUAUCUUGAACCGCAUGGUUCAAUAGUGAAAGACGGUUUUGCUGUCACUUAUAGAUGGAUCCGCGCCGCAUUAGCUAGUUGGUAAGGUAACGGCUUACCAAGGCAACUAUGCGUGUCCGACCUGAGGGGGUGGUCGGCCGCCCUGGAACUGGGACGCGGUCCAGACUCCUACGGGAGGCAGCAGUAGGGAAUCGUCCGCAGUGGGCGAAAGCCUGACGGAGCAGCGCCGCGUGAGUGAUGAAGGUCUUCGGAUCGUGAAACUCUGUUAUUAGGGAAGAACAAAUGUGUAAGUAACUGUGCACGUCUUGACGGUACCUAGUCAGAAAGCCCCGGCUAACUACGUG